ACGAACGCUGGCGGCGUGCCUAAUACAUGCAAGUCGAACGCUUCUUUUUCCACCGGAGCUUGCUCCACCGGAAAAAGAGGAGUGGCGAACGGGUGAGUAACACGUGGGUAACCUGCCCAUCAGAAGGGGAUAACACUUGGAAACAGGUGCUAAUACCGUAUAACAAUCGAAACCGCAUGGUUUUGAUUUGAAAGGCGCUUUCGGGUGUCGCUGAUGGAUGGACCCGCGGUGCAUUAGCUAGUUGGUGAGGUGACGGCUCACCAAGGCGACGAUGCAUAGCCGACCUGAGAGGGUGAUCGGCCACAUUGGGACUGAGACACGGCCCAAACUCCUACGGGAGGCAGCAGUAGGGAAUCUUCGGCAAUGGACGAAAGUCUGACCGAGCAACGCCGCGUGAGUGAAGAAGGUUUUCGGAUCGUAAAACUCUGUUGUUAGAGAAGAACAAGGAUGAGAGUAACUGUUCAUCCCUUGACGGUAUCUAACCAGAAAGCCACGGCUAACUACGUGCCAGCAGCCGCGGUAAUACGUAGGUGGCAAGCGUUGUCCGGAUUUAUUGGGCGUAAAGCGAGCGCAGGCGGUUUCUUAAGUCUGAUGUGAAAGCCCCCGGCUCAACCGGGGAGGGUCAUUGGAAACUGGGAGACUUGAGUGCAGAAGAGGAGAGUGGAAUUCCAUGUGUAGCGGUGAAAUGCGUAGAUAUAUGGAGGAACACCAGUGGCGAAGGCGGCUCUCUGGUCUGUAACUGACGCUGAGGCUCGAAAGCGUGGGGAGCAAACAGGAUUAGAUACCCUGGUAGUCCACGCCGUAAACGAUGAGUGCUAAGUGUUGGAGGGUUUCCGCCCUUCAGUGCUGCAGCUAACGCAUUAAGCACUCCGCCUGGGGAGUACGACCGCAAGGUUGAAACUCAAAGGAAUUGACGGGGGCCCGCACAAGCGGUGGAGCAUGUGGUUUAAUUCGAAGCAACGCGAAGAACCUUACCAGGUCUUGACAUCCUUUGACCACUCUAGAGAUAGAGCUUCCCCUUCGGGGGCAAAGUGACAGGUGGUGCAUGGUUGUCGUCAGCUCGUGUCGUGAGAUGUUGGGUUAAGUCCCGCAACGAGCGCAACCCUUAUUGUUAGUUGCCAUCAUUUAGUUGGGCACUCUAGCAAGACUGCCGGUGACAAACCGGAGGAAGGUGGGGAUGACGUCAAAUCAUCAUGCCCCUUAUGACCUGGGCUACACACGUGCUACAAUGGGAAGUACAACGAGUCGCAAAGUCGCGAGGCUAAGCUAAUCUCUUAAAGCUUCUCUCAGUUCGGAUUGUAGGCUGCAACUCGCCUACAUGAAGCCGGAAUCGCUAGUAAUCGCGGAUCAGCACGCCGCGGUGAAUACGUUCCCGGGCCUUGUACACACCGCCCGUCACACCACGAGAGUUUGUAACACCCGAAGUCGGUGAGGUAACCUUUUGGAGCCAGCCGCCUAAGGUGGGAUAGAUGAUUGGGGUG
rnacentral:rRNA from 1 species